ensembl:lncRNA
GAAGUCUUUCUUGCCAUGGAAUCCACUGUGAAAUCAGCAUUAGGCGCCCCUGUUAGCCAGCUGUUCUGCUGCAUCUCGGCAGACUUCUCCAAGGAAAAGGACGCCGCCUUUCCAACACGCUGCNGCGGGAACCGGACCCGAGACUCACCCCAGAAGAAACCAGCCAACCCCAAACAAAAGAGCAAACGGGACGCAGCCUUUGCUCAACAGAAGAGUCAGCGUGCAAUGAUGAGAGCUCACAUCCGGGAAAAGUACAAACUGCCUAAAAACCGGACAGAUAAGAAGCAGAUGGAAGCCGCUGNGGGUGUCGCCAAGCUCCCCCAAGACCUCCUGGCAAUUGUCAGGUCCAAGGCUGCUCCCGAGCCUUCCUCCAUCUUAUCGAGCCUCAAGGCCCUCGAUUUCAGCUCUUUGCGGCUAAGUGCUGAGAAUGCAGUGCAAUCCCUCCAGCGCCCGGUCCAGUGUCCUGUUAUGUGAGGGACCCCUCCAUGGAACUGGACCUCAGCGAUCCCUUGGACAGUUGUGGAGUCUGCGAACUGCCAAGCUUCACUGCUGAAACGAAGGCCUCCACACGCUCGAAAUGGACACAACCGCCACUGAACGGGGGGCCGUGUGAAUCGGCUAACCCCCUCCCCGUGAGAGAAGGGGAACCUGGGAGCCACCUGCAAUUCCACGAGCAAUGCUGCUAGCCUAGGCACAGAGGCAGUAACCCUGCCUGGCCCCUCCAUACGCGGUUUCGCCUUUCUCGAACCAGUCAGGCCUGUGGAGGCCGGCUCGUCUAAGAUGUCACUGCAAAAGGCUUAUAGGUAACGAAGCUAGCCGGUUCGUGGAUUGGACCCUGCUCUUCCGANGCACGGAACUGUGACGCUAGAAGCGGAGCACGUGAUUUCUGUGAAAAAAGGNGUUCCUUGACUGCGCAUCUCUGGUAGCCAGGACCGGGACAGAAUCAUGCCCAUAGUGUCAGGAAACUGUUUCCAGCCGCAGCAGGCAAUAUGGUCUUGGGUCAGAGAUUGCCAACCUUCGUGGUGCUGCUGGCAUAGAUGGCGUUCUGAGAAAGCAUAGUGGUUGCCACAGCACGGCUUGCUGCAGGAGUAAAGAAAUGAAGAGAAAAGGUUAGAUUAAGAAAGAAGGCAUCCUGCUGGCGUUGGGAAGGAAAGGGGGGGUGUCCCUUGGACGGGGGGGGCGUGUUCCAACAAAACACCAUCCUUUCUUUCUCCCUGUUAUCACAACUGUACACUAUCACUAUAAUUAACCGACAUCAGUACAGGUGAAAAAAGUGCACCAUUUGUGAAUAAGUGGGGUUCUUUUGUAUCCCAUUUGCCUUUCACCCCUGCAACCAAACCAUAAGCACAGCCCUGCAUUCUGCAGGGGAUUUUCCCUGCAUGAGAUGUAUGUUCAUGUUUCUCAAGAUUUCGACACCGCAUUAUCACAUACGCCUCAGGAUGGUGAACAAGGGUAAACAGGAGGAAAACAAACAAUUCAAAAGCAUAAAAUGCGCCAAAACCCUGUUUGUUCUUUCUUUAAAGAAAAGAAGAUGAAAAUAAAAAAAAUAUAAACAAGUACA